CUGAUCCCCUCCCUCUAGCCGGCGCUCCCUCCUCGCCGCCCCUCCAUCCUCUCGCGAUAUCUUCUCUCCGCGCCGCCGCCGUUCGUCACCACCCUAUCCUCCUGUUAGAGCUCCUCCACGUCGACGAGCCCCCUAGCGUCGCCAUCUCCUCACCUCACCCGCCCUCCUCCUCGCCAUCCCAGCCCCGGAGCCCAGCCAUGGGGGCCUGGCCGGAGCAAGAUCCAUCCAUGGCGGGCCUAGGUCCGGCUUCGUGCUGCAAGGCGGCGCUGUAGGGAGCGGGCCCCUUGGCCACUUGAGCCAGGCCGGCGCGUGCGUGCCGCUCGGCCGCGCCACAAGCCGCGCGCCACCAUUUUCGUGAGCGCAUAGGCCUGCUCGCCCCUUCCACGCAAGCCUGGGGUCCGCUCGCCUGCUCAGGCGCCGUCCAAGCAAGUGGAUCCCUCUGAUUUUUUUGUUCCCCAUUGGAUUCAAGCCAUUUUACUUCACUUGCACCUAUACUGGAUGCAAAAUCUGUCUCGAUUUCUUCUCAAAUGUGCAGUACACAACUGUGAUCUAUGGUCUUUGCUUGGUCAGAGAAUUGCAGAUCUUUUUCCCCUCAGUCUUUCCCCCUCUGAUAUGUCGCCCACUUGGAUUCAUUUGUGCCGCUGUGGUAAAGAAAUGAAGAAAAACCUUUCCUUAAAUCCUUGUAUGCAUGAAGGAAAACUAAAGGUUUUCUUUACGAAGUGGAUCUUUUAAUUACUGCAUUUGAGAGCGAAACUGGAACUGUAGUACAUGCAAGAGGAUUAAAUUUGAGCUUGUCCCCAUGAGUUUUGGAUGGAGAGCGGAAGUGAUAGGCAUAGCUAUAUCUUAGAAUUGAUCCCUGCAUGACCAGGGGACCAAAGCAUAAACCAUGAUCAUUUCUUAAUUUUCUACUUGUUCAUUUUUUGAGUUCUUAAUCUUUCAUAUGCAUAGCCUGACUACUGGCUUAUGAUUGAAUUUUACAAUUUCGAGACCGAACUCAUCACUAAGCUCCAAACUAGGGGUCUUGCAAUGCAAAAUCAUGGAGUAUGCUAUCCUUGGUUCUCGUUACUAUUAUUUUUCUGCUACAACACCAUACCAGCUUUCAUGCACACUACCAUGAGUACCAGUCCACCAGCUCUUUUAUUUGUCAAACCAGGAGUACGUCUCAACAACACAAGCAAAAAAUUAUUCAAUCAUUUCCACGCAGCGGCAUCCCGAGGUCUGCUUCCUUUCCUGCAAGAGUCUUGUUUCAAACAUCACUCUCACUUGUGUCACCUUACUGUUGCCACUUAUACCAAGCUGACACUCAAUUCAGAAAGCCACUUUUGAAUGGGGGCAAGGAUUUCCUGAUUCACAAAUGGUUAAUUACCUUACUACAAAUGGUUAUAGGUUGUUUCAAACCUUAUGUUUUUAUUGCCACUAUCAAAUGCACAUACUUUAUCUUCAGUGAGUGAGAUUACUGUCAGAUAGUGUUCUUGAACAUUGAUAUAUUUUGGAUCUAUACUUGUAACAUGAUUACAAUAAGUUUUUUUAUUCUGAAACUAUAGGUUUAAUAUGACUAGUGGAGAGUUUAUGUUCGAAAUUCACCUUAGCAGCUAUGUCACUUUGUUUGGACUUAAAUCUGAUGAGAUGACUGAACUAAUCAUAAGUAUUUCUUUUCCCUUGUCAGGUUGCAUUACUAUAGAGCAAGCUGAGCGUGAAAACCUGUGUGAUCUAUUGUUGGUGUUGCAGGUCCUGUUGGUGCUCUGGAGCAUUUGCUACUUUGCUUCUGGAAUCAAAUUGCUACUUGUAUCAUGUGCUUUGAUUUUUGGUGCUAUAGGUCUUGCUGGUGUAUUUUGGGCUGUUGUAUCUCUUUUCAAUGUAAACAUGAGAUUGUAUCACUUAUUUUGGGCUGCUAAAAUUUGAUAUGUAUUUUGGGUUGUACUGAUCAUUCUGGUGUAUGGUAUGAGAAAUUGGAUUAAAUUGAUGGGCUCAAUUUUUUAUGGGCCUUUUUGGU